rnacentral:rRNA from 1 species
CGCCUCUUGUAGUUUAAAAAUAAGAGGUCCCGCCUGCCCAGUGACACUAAGUUCAACGGCCGCGGUAUUUUGACCGUGCAAAGGUAGCGCAAUCACUUGUCUUUUAAAUGAAGACCCGUAUGAAUGGCAUAACGAGGGCCUAACUGUCUCCUUUUUCAAGUCAAUGAAAUUGAUCUCCCCGUGCAGAAGCGGGGAUAACAACAUAAGACGAGAAGACCCUAUGGAGCUUUAGACACCAGAGCAGCCCUUGUCAAACACCCCUGGCAAAAGGACAAAACCAAAAGGACCCUGCUCCCCUGUCUUUGGUUGGGGCGACCGCGGGGAAUACAAAACCCCCAUGUGGAAUGGGAAAACCACUCCUAAAACCAAGAGCCACGGCUCUAAGCAAUAGAACAUCUAACCAAAAGAUCCGGCAUGACCGAUCAACGAACCGAGUUACCCUAGGGAUAACAGCGCAAUCCCCUUCUAGAGUCCAUAUCGACAAGGGGGUUUACGACCUCGAUGUUGGAUCAGGACAUCCUAAUGGUGCAGCCGCUAUUAAGGGUUCGUUUGUUCAACGAUUAAAGUCCUACG